UUAUUCCUGAGAUGUUCGCGAUGGGUUACGUCCCUGAGCCGAUACUAAUCUAUUUUGAAUUGGUUCUCUAUAUUAUUGGUGUGCAAGCUUAGUUUAGCUAAGAAGCCUAAAAAUGAUUAUAACCGAUUCCCUUGAAUCUUCGGGUUCAAGGACCGACCACUCAUAACGGCAUCUCGGGGGUUUU
rnacentral:other from 1 species